rnacentral:rRNA from 1 species
CCCUAUGGGGUGCAGCAGGCGUUCAGAACUUCUGUGGAACAGGACGAGAAUCAGUGUGGGCCAGGAUCGUUGGCCAACAGUCUGCAAUAUCUUGAGGAUGAAUUCGGAAUUAACGUGCCGCACGACCACACUCCUGGAAUCAACGGCAAAGACGGAGCCGGCAAGGCGGACAAAUCGCUGGUUGGUGAGAUUGACCAGACGAUGAAGCGAGCGCCGCACAAAACUGUAUCGGACGAGAAUUUCAUGACCGGCAAGCUCGACUACAUCGCCGCGAACAAUCUGGGCGAUGGCCUGAUCAUCAAGCACUGGGGCGGUACGUUUGUGGCAGGCGAUCGGCAGAGCACGGACGGUACGGUCAAAUCAAAGGAUGAGACUGCAAGCGGCACUCUCAUGGACUGGAUCAUCCGGGAGAUCGCGCACGGCGAGGAUGUCGAAUUGGCGGGGGGGC